rnacentral:rRNA from 1 species
GAUGAACGCUAGCGACAGGCUUAACACAUGCAAGUCGAGGGGCAGCACAGGUAGCAAUACCGGGUGGCGACCGGCGCACGGGUGAGUAACGCGUAAGGAACCUGCCUUGGAGUGGGGAAUAACACAGUGAAAAUUGUGCUAAUACCGCAUAAUGCAGUUGGGUCGCAUGACUCUGACUGCCAAAGAUUUAUCGCUCUGAGAUGGCCUCGCGUCUGAUUAGCUAGUUGGUGGGGUAACGGCCCACCAAGGCGACGAUCAGUAGCCGGACUGAGAGGUUGGCCGGCCACAUUGGGACUGAGACACGGCCCAGACUCCUACGGGAGGCAGCAGUGGGGAAUAUUGGGCAAUGGGCGCAAGCCUGA